rnacentral:rRNA from 2 species
UGGAUCCAGACUUUGAUCCUGGCUCAGGACGAACGCUGGCGGCGUGCCUAACACAUGCAAGUCGAACGAGGGUUUGGAAAGCUUGCUUUCCGAAACCUAGUGGCGGACGGGUGAGUAACGCGUGAGUAACCUGCCUUUCAGAGGGGAAUAACGUUUUGAAAAGAACGCUAAUACCGCAUAACGUACAGUUACCGCAUGGUAGCAGUACCAAAGGAGCAAUCCGCUGAAAGAUGGACUCGCGUCCGAUUAGCUAGUUGGUGGGGUAAAGGCCUACCAAGGCGACGAUCGGUAGCCGGACUGAGAGGUUGAACGGCCACAUUGGGACUGAGACACGGCCCAGACUCCUACGGGAGGCAGCAGUGGGGGAUAUUGCACAAUGGGGGAAACCCUGAUGCAGCAACGCCGCGUGUGGGAAGAAGGUUUUCGGAUUGUAAACCACUGUUCUUGGUGAAGAUAAUGACGGUAACCAAGGAGAAAGCUCCGGCUAACUACGUGCCAGCAGCCGCGGUAAUAUGUAGGGAGCAAGCGUUGUCCGGAUUUACUGGGUGUAAAGGGUGCGUAGGCGGCUAGGCAAGUCAGACGUGAAAACCAUGGGCUCAACCUGUGGACUGCGUUUGAAACUGUUUAGCUUGAGUGAAGUAGAGGUAGGCGGAAUUCCCGGUGUAGCGGUGAAAUGCGUAGAGAUCGGGAGGAACACCAGUGGCGAAGGCGGCCUACUGGGCUUUAACUGACGCUGAGGCACGAAAGCAUGGGUAGCAAACAGGAUUAGAUACCCUGGUAGUCCAUGCCGUAAACGAUGAUUACUAGGUGUGGGGGGUCUGACCCCCUCCGUGCCGGAGUUAACACAAUAAGUAAUCCACCUGGGGAGUACGGCCGCAAGGUUGCAACUCAAAUGAAUUGACGGAA